UACGAAGGGGGCUAGCGUUGCUCGGAAUCACUGGGCGUAAAGCGCACGUAGGCGGCUUCUUAAGUCAGGGGUGAAAUCCUGGAGCUCAACUCCAGAACUGCCUUUGAUACUGGGAAUCUCGAGUCCGGAAGAGGUGAGUGGAACUGCGAGUGUAGAGGUGAAAUUCGUAGAUAUUCGCAAGAACACCAGUGGCGAAGGCGGCUCACUGGUCCGGUACUGACGCUGAGGUGCGAAAGCGUGGGGAGCAAACAGG
rnacentral:rRNA from 1 species